CCCCCUUUUUUCUCAAACACGGGUGAACAGCCAUUUCUUCAUUCUCAAAGCCGAAAUCUCACCUCUCUCUCGAUCUCGUCCCCGGCGAGGGGUCCGACGUCGCCGCCGCCGACCGCCCCGCUGAGCCGUCGUCCCCCCUCCCUUUCUCAUACCUCUGUCCCUCUCAUCUCUCAAUUCCAAUUCCUUCCUCAUUCCCAAAUCUCAAAAUCAAAUUGAGCCCUAAUUUCUCAUCUAGAGAUUUCGCCGUCGUGGGACCGCCGCCCCUUGUCUGAAAUCCGGCGAGGCCGGCUAAAGCUUCGCCGCCUGGGUUCGUUCUCUGCGAGGUCGCCGCACUCGGAGUCUCCCUCAUAUUUUGUCCGACGGGGCAACAAAAACUUCGCCUCCGUCGAUCACUUUUUGCUCGAUAGAACGGGGCAUCUGUCCUGGUCAUCUCUCCCCCUCUUCCCCAUGGUUUAUUGAAACAGGCUGAACAAGGAGUUGAAAGGAUUUGCUUCAAGGCUUACCUCUUCAAGGUACAGUUUGGAGUUGGAGGAAACUCUCUCCCUUUCUCAGCUUCUUCAGCGUGUGUUAGUGUAAGGGAAGAAGAGAGACUUGAUGGCUGAAAUACAAGAAGUGGUGUUGUUGGCUCAUACUCGAGUAGUCUACAGAUAUAGGGUGGUUGAUGUUUCUUUCGGUAUCCCGUAUGGGCUUUGAGUGGAUAGAGGGUUGCAGAGGAUGAAAGUGAGGCUGCUGUAGCUGCUCUCUACACACAAGUUUUCCUUUUCUUUUCUCUUUCUUUCCCUUUUUUUUUUAUGGUGAAUAGUAUUCUAGCCUUGUAGGAAGGAGUAGUAGGAAAGAUUGUUGAUGUUAAUUGUUGGAAAGUAUGCGUGUACUAUGCAAUAGAGUAGGAAAAAGGACUUUGAUUGUAAGUGUUGGAAAGUCUUGAGGUGACAAAUAAAAUCCUAAAAUUUUGUGUCAA